rnacentral:rRNA from 1 species
UUAAGCGACUAAGCGUACACGGUGGAUGCCCUGGCAGUCAGAGGCGAUGAAGGACGUGCUAAUCUGCGAAAAGCGUCGGUAAGGUGAUAUGAACCGUUAUAACCGGCGAUGUCCGAAUGGGGAAACCCAGUGCAAUUCGUUGCACUAUCGUUAACUGAAUACAUAGGUUAACGAGGCGAACCGGGGGAACUGAAACAUCUAAGUACCCCGAGGAAAAGAAAUCAACCGAGAUUCCCCCAGUAGCGGCGAGCGAACGGGGAGCAGCCCAGAGUCUGAAUCAGCUUGUGUGUUAGUGGAACGGUCUGGAAAGUCCGACGGUACAGGGUGAUAGUCCCGUACACCAAAAUGCACAGGUUGUGAACUCGAAGAGUAGGGCGGGACACGUGGUAUCCUGUCUGAAUAUGGGGGGACCAUCCUCCAAGGCUAAAUACUCCUGACUGACCGAUAGUGAACCAGUACCGUGAGGGAAAGGCGAAAAGAACCCCGGCGAGGGGAGUGAAAAAGAACCUGAAACCGUGUACGUACAAGCAGUGGGAGCACCUUCGGGUGUGACUGCGUACCUUUUGUAUAAUGGGUCAGCGACUUAUAUUCUGUAGCAAGGUUAACCGUAUAGGGGAGCCGCAGGGAAACCGAGUCUUAACUGGGCGUUAAGUUGCAGGGUAUAGACCCGAAACCCGGUGAUCUAGCCAUGGGCAGGUUGAAGGUUGGGUAACACUAACUGGAGGACCGAACCGACUAAUGUUGAAAAAUUAGCGGAUGACUUGUGGCUGGGGGUGAAAGGCCAAUCAAACCGGGAGAUAGCUGGUUCUCCCCGAAAGCUAUUUAGGUAGCGCCUCGUGAAUUCAUCUUCGGGGGUAGAGCACUGUUUCGGCUAGGGGGUCAUCCCGACUUACCAACCCGAUGCAAACUACGAAUACCGAAGAAUGUUAUCACGGGAGACACACGGCGGGUGCUAACGUCCGUCGUGAAGAGGGAAACAACCCAGACCGCCAGCUAAGGUCCCAAAGUCAUGGUUAAGUGGGAAACGAUGUGGGAAGGCACAGACAGCCAGGAUGUUGGCUUAGAAGCAGCCAUCAUUUAAAGAAAGCGUAAUAGCUCACUGGUCGAGUCGGCCUGCGCGGAAGAUGUAACGGGGCUAAACCAUGCACCGAAGCUGCGGCAGCGACACUAUGUGUUGUUGGGUAGGGGAGCGUUCUGUAAGCCUGCGAAGGUGACCUGUGAGGGUUGCUGGAGGUAUCAGAAGUGCGAAUGCUGACAUAAGUAACGAUAAAGCGGGUGAAAAGCCCGCUCGCCGGAAGACCAAGGGUUCCUGUCCAACGUUAAUCGGGGCAGGGUGAGUCGACCCCUAAGGCGAGGCCGAAAGGCGUAGUCGAUGGGAAACAGGUUAAUAUUCCUGUACUUGGUGUUACUGCGAAGGGGGGACGGAGAAGGCUAUGUUAGCCGGGCGACGGUUGUCCCGGUUUAAGCAUGUAGGCUGGUUGUCCAGGCAAAUCCGGAUAAUCAAGGCUGAGGUGUGAUGACGAGGCACUACGGUGCUGAAGUAACAAAUGCCCUGCUUCCAGGAAAAGCCUCUAAGCAUCAGGUAACAUCAAAUCGUACCCCAAACCGACACAGGUGGUCAGGUAGAGAAUACCAAGGCGCUUGAGAGAACUCGGGUGAAGGAACUAGGCAAAAUGGUGCCGUAACUUCGGGAGAAGGCACGCUGGUGUGUAGGUGAAGUCCCUGCGGAUGGAGCUGAGACCAGUCGAAGAUACCAGCUGGCUGCAACUGUUUAUUAAAAACACAGCACUGUGCAAACACGAAAGUGGACGUAUACGGUGUGACGCCUGCCCGGUGCCGGAAGGUUAAUUGAUGGGGUUAUCCGUAAGGAGAAGCUCUUGAUCGAAGCCCCGGUAAACGGCGGCCGUAACUAUAACGGUCCUAAGGUAGCGAAAUUCCUUGUCGGGUAAGUUCCGACCUGCACGAAUGGCGUAAUGAUGGCCAGGCUGUCUCCACCCGAGACUCAGUGAAAUUGAACUCGCUGUGAAGAUGCAGUGUACCCGCGGCAAGACGGAAAGACCCCGUGAACCUUUACUAUAGCUUGACACUGAACAUUGAGCCUUGAUGUGUAGGAUAGGUGGGAGGCUUUGAAGCGUGGACGCCAGUCUGCGUGGAGCCAACCUUGAAAUACCACCCUUUAAUGUUUGAUGUUCUAACGUUGGCCCCUGACCGGGGUUGCGGACAGUGUCUGGUGGGUAGUUUGACUGGGGCGGUCUCCUCCCAAAGCGUAACGGAGGAGCACGAAGGUUAGCUAAUCCUGGUCGGACAUCAGGAGGUUAGUGCAAUGGCAUAAGCUAGCUUGACUGCGAGCGUGACGGCGCGAGCAGGUGCGAAAGCAGGUCAUAGUGAUCCGGUGGUUCUGAAUGGAAGGGCCAUCGCUCAACGGAUAAAAGGUACUCCGGGGAUAACAGGCUGAUACCGCCCAAGAGUUCAUAUCGACGGCGGUGUUUGGCACCUCGAUGUCGGCUCAUCACAUCCUGGGGCUGAAGUAGGUCCCAAGGGUAUGGCUGUUCGCCAUUUAAAGUGGUACGCGAGCUGGGUUUAGAACGUCGUGAGACAGUUCGGUCCCUAUCUGCCGUGGGCGCUGGAGAAUUGAGGGGGGCUGCUCCUAGUACGAGAGGACCGGAGUGGACGCAUCACUGGUGUUCGGGUUGUCAUGCCAAUGGCACUGCCCGGUAGCUAAAUGCGGAAGAGAUAAGUGCUGAAAGCAUCUAAGCACGAAACUUGCCCCGAGAUGAGUUCUCCCUGAGACUUUAAGUCUCCUGAAGGAACGUUAAAGACGAUGACGUUGAUAGGCCGGGUGUGUAAGCGCAGCGAUGCGUUGAGCUAACCGGUACUAAUGAACCGUGAGGCUUAACCUU